rnacentral:rRNA from 1 species
ACCAGACUCGCUCUCCAAUAAAUCCUCGUUAAGGAUUUAAAUUGUACCCAUUCCGAUGACAGACCUCAAAGAGGACUGUCUCGUUAUUUUUCGUCACUACCUCUCCGUUCUGGAAGUGGGUAAUUUGCGCGCCUGCUGCCUUCCUUGGAUGUGGUAGCCGUUUCUCAGGCUCCCUCUCCGGAGUCGAACCCUUAUUCUCCGUUACCCGUUACUACCAUGGUAGGCGUAUAACCUACCAUCGAAAGUUGAUAAGGCAGACAC